rnacentral:rRNA from 1 species
UACGGAAGGCAGCAGUGGGGAAUAUUGCACAAUGGGCGAAAGCCUGAUGCAGCUAUGCCGCGUGUAUGAAGAAGGCCUUAGGGUUGUAAAGUACUUUUCAUCGGGGAGGAAAAACAAAACUAAUAAUUUUUAUUUUCUUGACGUUACCCGAAAAAGAAAGCACCGGCUAACUCCGUGCCAGCAGCCGCGGUAAUACGGAGGGUGCUAGCGUUAAUCAGAAUUACUGGGCGUAAAGAGCACGUAGGUGGUUUUUUUUAAGUUCAGAUGUGAAAUCCCUGGGCUUAACCUAGGAACCGCAUUUUGAAACUGAAAUACUAGAGUAUCGUAGAGGGAGGUAGAAUUCUAGGUGUAGCGGUGAAAUGCGUAGAUAUCUGGAGGAAUACCUGUGGCGAAAGCGGCCUCCUAAACGAAUACUGACACUGAGGGUGCGAAAGGCUGGGGAGCAAACAGGGA